UACGUAGGUGGCAAGCGUUGUCCGGAAUUAUUGGGCGUAAAGAGCGUGUAGGCGGCUUGGUAAGUCCGCUGUGAAAGUCCAGGGCUCAACCCUGGAAAGCCGGUGGAAACUGUCAAGCUUGAGUCCGGAAGAGGCGAGUGGAAUUCCUGGUGUAGCGGUGAAAUGCGCAGAUAUCAGGAGGAACACCAAUGGCGAAGGCAGCUCGCUGGGACGGUACUGACGCUGAGACGCGAAAGCGUGGGGAGCAAACAGG
rnacentral:rRNA from 1 species